AUUGCUAAGAAUCAGUGAGCUCCAAGAUCCUCGGAAAUGGAGAGCGAUUGGGGUAAAUUCUGCCUCAUUGCCUGCCAGACCUUGCAAUGAGCAAGCUCGCUUCUGCCCCAAAAGCGGGCUUAGGUCAGGUGUUAAAGGCUGAGCACCGACACCGGAGCCAUACCAAAUCACCUGAAGACGUUGGCCUGGAUUUUUCAAAGCAUGGAGAGCAUCUCCUAGAGACGGAGUCUGUCCAUCGCUUUGGCCCCUAGUUGGAGUGGGAAUUUGCUUUCCCCAUCUGUGCUCAACGCUAACACCAUGAGUCAGGUUAUGCACUGCUUCUGCUGCUUUUGAAAGAAGAAAUUCAUCUUGAUUCUGGAAAUAUUGCACUCCUGGGCCAGCUCUUGCAGAGCGUUCUUGCUGUCAUGUGGAGUAAUGGGAAGGAUUGGAGAAAUAGCCAGGGGUCUGAAAUACACAGUCGUGAGACUUGCCAAAAUGCCUGACUGCUCCAGAGGGGCAGGCUAGUUCAGGCUUUCGAUGGCUGACAGAUCCUGAGUGCCCAGACAUUCACCCCAUCCCAGAGCUGCUGGAGGAGACCCUACGGUUGCUACAGCCUUGACAAUCAGCUGGUUCUGUGGAGGACAGCCACAACCCCCAGAUCCUGUUCAGGCCACAUACAAAAGCUCUGUGUGUUGCAAGAGGACUACAGACCACCCUUGGGAACUGUUGAUGGGCAGCUUCCCGGCCUCCUGGCCCCACAGCAUCACCCUGAACUCAUCGUUUCUGCUGAGCCAGAGGCCUUCCAUGAGUUAGCCUGAAAUGAAAAUGCUUGUUUUCCUCUUGCACUGAGUAAGAGACUGACAAUAUCUAAUUGUCAAUACCCCUCCCUUGAGAGACAUGCAACAGCGUUGCUCCUCAGGGCAUAUUCCCCUCUGCUGUAUUUAGAACAGUUUGAAAAGACCAAAUUUUAAAAAUAAUAAUCUUUCCAAAAACUCCCCACCCACCAGCACUCCCCUGCCAAAUUUCAGUUUGAAGAAAAUGAAAAAGGACAAGUUUAUACACUCUGAUGAACGGGAGUUCAAAAUGGAACCUGAACAUCAUAAUUCUUGCAAAUGUACACUGAUAAUGGAAAGCAGUGGUGAUGAUGGCAUUGUGCCCAGAGGGGCCCUUUGUUGUAGAUGCUUUUGGUGUUGCUUCUUUUUGCAGUUUAUAUUAAAGGUGAAAACAUCUGUUUUCUUCA